GUCCGGCAACGGAAACGGCAUGGCAAACCACACCGGGAGCAAGACCGAAUAGGGACGGCAACGCGGGCUGUUCGCGCAAGCGAAAACACCGCAGGGCGAUGUCAGGCUCGCCGUCCGGGUAGGUUGCUCGAGGCAACGUGCGAACGUUGUCCCAGAGGAAUGGCCGUCACGUAUCGUCUGUGCAAGCAGGCGGUGCCCUACAAAACCCGGCUUACAGGCUGGCUGAUAUC
rnacentral:RNase_P_RNA from 1 species